GAGUUUGAUCAUGGCUCAGAUUGAACGCUGGCGGCAUGCCUUACACAUGCAAGUCGAACGGCAGCAUGAUCUAGCUUGCUAGAUUGAUGGCGAGUGGCGAACGGGUGAGUAAUACAUCGGAACGUGCCCUGUAGUGGGGGAUAACUAGUCGAAAGAUUAGCUAAUACCGCAUACGACCUGAGGGUGAAAGUGGGGGACCGCAAGGCCUCAUGCUAUAGGAGCGGCCGAUGUCUGAUUAGCUAGUUGGUGGGGUAAAGGCCCACCAAGGCGACGAUCAGUAGCUGGUCUGAGAGGACGAUCAGCCACACUGGGACUGAGACACGGCCCAGACUCCUACGGGAGGCAGCAGUGGGGAAUUUUGGACAAUGGGCGAAAGCCUGAUCCAGCAAUGCCGCGUGUGUGAAGAAGGCCUCGGUUGGUAAGU
rnacentral:rRNA from 1 species